rnacentral:rRNA from 1 species
UACGAAAGGGGGGCUAGCGUUGCUCGGAAUCACUGGGCGUAAAGGGUGCGUAGGCGGGUCUUUAAGUCAGGGGUGAAAUCCUGGAGCUCAACUCCAGAACUGCCUUUGAUACUGAAGAUCUUGAGUUCGGGAGAGGUGAGUGGAACUGCGAGUGUAGAGGUGAAAUUCGUAGAUAUUCGCAAGAACACCAGUGGCGAAGGCGGCUCACUGGCCCGAUACUGACGCUGAGGCACGAAAGCGUGGGGGAGCAAACAGG